GCAACCUGCUCCCGUCUCCUUCUGCCCUUGGGAAGCUUUGCUCUUUUGCUAUUUGCAAUAAAUUAUGCUACUACUUACUUUUUGGGUCAACACUGCUUUUUAUGAGCUGUAAUACUCACUGUGAAGGUCUGCAGCUUUGCUUCUGAAGUCAGUGAGACCACGUAGCCCACCGGGAGAAACAAACAACUCCAGACACACUGUCCUAAGAGUUGUAACACUCACUGGGAAGGUCUGCAGCUUUAUUCCUGAGCUAGGGAUACUGUGGACCCACCAAAAGGAAGAAAGUCUGAACACAUCCAAACACCAGCAGGAAUAAACUCCAGACACGCCACCUUAAGAGCUAUAACACUCAACUGUGAGAGUUGGUGGCUUCAUUCUUGAAGUCAGUGUAGACCAAGAACCUACCAAUUACGGACACACUCAGAUGGGUCAACAUUGAAAAACACUGAGCUAGGCUGGGCUAUUUUACAACAGGGAG
rnacentral:lncRNA from 1 species